AAAAAAGCAAUAUAUUCUUUAUUUUCCUUGCUAUUUUCUUCACCCAAAAAUUUCUCUUUUCCUUGUGUUUCAUUGGUUUGAAAACUAAUAUUGUUGUAUCAGUUGAAUUGAUAUUGUAGUAUCAAUUUUCAAAUUGUAUUGUUGUAGUAUAAUUCAAGAAGAUGUUCCUUCUCCGAUCGUUACAGUGCAGUAAUCAAUC
rnacentral:lncRNA from 1 species